rnacentral:tRNA from 1 species
GGUUCCUUAGAGUUGUGUUUAGCGCGUCUGCUUUACACGCAGAAGGUCCUCGGUUCGAGCCCCAGUGGAGCCA